GAGGAGUCUGAUCACCGAGGUGUCGACUCCGGCAUCUGGGAUUAGAGUGACUCCAGGGUUUGUGGCAUUGAAGGAGUUAAAGAGGAAGUCAAGGCCAAAACUGGGAUAGAAGAAAAGGAAGAGGAGGAGAGGUGAUCGCAGCAUCCCAAUAGAUUCCGGUGGCCGGAGGAGAGACUUGAGGAGGGAUGUAGUUGGGGUUGAAAUUGUAAGCACGAGUAUAAAUAGAAAAAUAGGAGUCAUUAUUGACUAUUUAUUGAUUAAAGGAACCGAGUGUUGAGAGUUAAUGCUUUCUUUGUGAUUAGGUGGGUUUUGACUCUCAACAUCUCGUUUUGUCUCGCUUUAUGCUUUUCUCCAUUAUUUAUUGUAUUAUUGACAUUUGUGUUAAUUGAAUAUUAAGUAGCUUUUCGU
rnacentral:lncRNA from 1 species